rnacentral:rRNA from 1 species
GAUGAACGCUAGCGGCAGGCCUAAUACAUGCAAGUCGGACGGGAUUCAGGAGCUUGCUUCUGAUGAGAGUGGCGCACGGGUGCGUAACACGUAUGUAACCUACCUUUAUCAGGGGGAUAGCCUCUCGAAAGAGAGAUUAAGCCCGCAUAAAAUCACAGCACAGCAUUGUGUAAUGAUCAAAUAUUUAUAGGAUAAAGAUGGGCAUGCGGAACAUUAGCUAGAUGGCGGGGUAACGGCCCACCAUGGCGACGAUGUUUAGGGGAUCUGAGAGGAUGGCCCCCCACACUGGUACUGAGACACGGACCAGAAUCCUACGGGAGGAAGCAGUAAGGAAUAUUGGUCAAUGGGCGGAAGCCUGAACCAGCCAUGCCGCGUGCAGGAAGACGGCCCUACGGGUUGUAAACUGCUUUUAUACGGGAAUAAACCCAGAUACGUGUAUCUGGCUGAAUGUACUGUAAGAAUAAGGAUCGGCUAACUCCGUG